GGGGGUGUACCGGUUUCGACUGGUACGGUUCGGGAUGCAGGUUGCAGGUGGAGGGCCGAUCUCCUGAUUCGGCAAACAUACAACUGCCAAAAACGACAGUUAUUCCGAUUACGCCUUAGCCGCGUAAUUCCGUGGAACCUUCCCGCCGCUCUGAGGGAGGGCUUCCGCGUAAAAAUCAGGGCUGGUUCCGUUGCGGAUUCGGACGCGGCGGAAUGAAAAUCUCCCGAAUUACGGAUGCGCCGCCCGCCGCGCCGCUCAGCCCAUCCCGACAAAAUAAACCGCGGCUAAACCUGUAGAGAUUUGUAUUUCGCGUAUUAGGACGCGGGUUCGACUCCCGCCACCUCCAUCU
rnacentral:tmRNA from 1 species